rnacentral:lncRNA from 1 species
UUCGUGCAAAUUCAAUUUUCAAACUCCAAAACCGUGUUUUAAUCUCUAUCACCACCGGUCGCCGCCGUCACACACUCUCUCUACACUCCGGCGACACUAAUCCUCCUCACAUCUCAACAAUGACAUCAACCGACAUUGCAAAUUUCGAUCUCAGGUCCAGCUAUGGCGUGUUUUCGCUAACGCGUUCACGCGGUGGUCCGAAUGUACGCCGUUAACAUUUACCGAAAGCGUUAACUACUUCACUACUGAUAUGAAAAUCGGAUUCUACGCCGGAGAACACGGCGAUGGUGAGGAGUUUGACGGUGUGUUGGGAUCGUUAGCUCACGCGUUUGCACCGCCUAGAGGCUU